AUUUUCCUCAAUUUGUCAUGUAGAAAUCUGGCAUUUAACCUGAGGUUGAACUAUGGAACUUGUGUUUGCUGCCUCUGAAGAAAACCCUUCACCAGGAUCACUGUCAGGAGGGAUGCUGCUUUUGAUUAGAGCCUGGCCCAGCUGUCAUGAAUAUCAAUGGCAACAUCAGUGAGAUGUUCUUCAAAAAACAGCGAAAUAACAGAAAUAACACUUCCUGUUGAGAAGUAAACGCAAACCCACUCAUAAUGAAUGAGAAGGAAGACAACGUGAUAAAAUGUGUCACCGGAAACUCUGUGUGCACCCCCCCAAAGUCCACUGAGCACGCUUUGAUGCACUUUCACCCAGCCGGGGAGGAGGACGUGACUGUAGUGCAGGGAACCCAAAUGUAAUCAGUUCCCAGGGGCACAGGAAUAAAGAAGGGAGCUGAUCCCCAAGAGGCAGCAGUUGUGAGCACUGCAUUAUGCUGCCCCAGAAGUCUUUCUGCUGGUGUGAUGAUGCUGUUCUCCAGGCAGGUCUAUGGCUACCAUCCCGAUGGCUUGAGUGAUCAGUGAUGGAUGGCCCUACCCAACGACAUCUCCAGCUAGACCCUCUGCUCUGAUUGUGUGUUCACCACUCAGUCUUUGUGUAUUAAAUUGCCUUCUUGUGCAGAGAUGAUGCCUGUAAUUCAAGUGGUUUGGGGGAGGCUGAGGAAGGAGGAUUGGGAAUUCAAAGCCAGCCUCAGCAAAAGCAAGAUGCUAAGCAACUCAGUGACAAAAUAGGGCUGGGGAUGUGGCUCAGGGGUUGAGUGCCCCGAGUUCAUUCUGCAUUACCCACCCCCACCCCAGUUGCCUUCUUGUGUAGAGAUUUUGUCAAAAAGAGAAUGUGGAAAUCAACAAAGUACUUGGCUGAUUUUAUAGAUACAAUUUUAAAGUAAAUUAAUUCCAUUCAGCCUUGUUGAUGCUUCUCUUUCUAGUUUGGAGAGUGUGGUGCAGCUGAGAAAGGUGUGCAGUGAACAAUAUUUCCAAAGCUGGAUUUAAAACUGAGGACCAGGUCCUGAACAGAGACUUGGACUCCUUGCAGUGCAACCCAGGGAAAGCCGUUCUGAUCAUCUCAUUGGAGCCCUGAGUUCACCCCUUCUGGAUUCUUCUCUAGUGGCACAAAAGAUACUCACAAGUAUUAUCAAUAAAUU
rnacentral:lncRNA from 1 species